CUGCUCAAUGAUUUUUUAAAUUGCUGUGGUAUUUUGACUAUACAAAGGUAUUGUAAUAAGAUUUUAAUUGAAUGCUAAGAGAAUGGAAUUUCAGGGAAAAACUGUUUUAAACUUAAAAAUUAAAUUUAUUUUAAUUUGUGAAGAAACAAUUAUUUAAAUUAAGGACAAGAAGACCCUAAGAAUUUUAAAGAUAAUAAUUUUAAUAUUAAAAUUAUUAUCUUUUGGUUGGGGCAACUAAAAAAGAUUAUAAACUUUUUAUUUAAUAAAAUGAUCCAUUAUUAAUGAUAAUUUGAUAAAAAUACUCUAGGGAUAACAGCGUAAUAAUUUUUGAUAGAACAUAUAGACAAAAUAGUUUGCGACCUCGAUGUUGGAUUAGGAUACUUUUUUAAUGAAGAUGUUAAAAAAAGAAGUUUGUUCAACUUUUAAAGUCCUACUUGAUCUGAGUUCAGACCGG
rnacentral:rRNA from 1 species